rnacentral:lncRNA from 1 species
AAUAUAUCAAUAACACAUCGUCAACAAAAUAUGAUUCAUAACCAUUUUUAAGCGUAAAUCAUUAAGCAAAUAUAUUCAGUCCACUUUAGUCUUAGCUAUUUCAGAAAUUUGAAAGAGUUGUCUUUCUUCUUUUCUUAACAAGUAUGAGUCAUUUCCCUUUUUGAGAAGCAUCUUCAAUAAAUUUGUCUAGCAACAUAAAUAUUUCCUAAGCAAAGAUAAUGAAAAUACUACUGUUGAAUUCUAUAAAACAACUCAACAUCCCCAGUGUCAAUGAAGCUGUUGUUGAUAUGAAAAUAUAGAAAAUGAAAUAAAAGGGGAAAUAACUCUUACAAGACAAGAAAUAAAGACUAUAUCACAAAAGUUGUAAUAAAUUUGUUGCAAACAAGUCUUUAAUAGAUGAUUUUGUUUUGAUUGUAACUUAAUUCAAAUGAGAUCAUACAUAUUGCACAUCUAUAAACUGUGAAAGCAUUACUGUUUACAGGGUACCAGUUUUCAUGGACUUUCUGGUUCCCUCAAUCAAAGAAAUUUAGAAUCUACAUAUCAAUAGGAAAAACAUUUUCCUUUGUGUUUAAUUUGUUAAUCAAAUCAAAACCCCAGGAAUCCACAAUGUUUUCACAGACCACAAACAAAUGAAACCCAUUUCUCUUACAAAGUAUUUUAUAAAACGUUCAUUAAUGAAAAGGAAAA